AAGCCAAUGAGGAUUAUUAUCAUUUUAAGUUGGAAUUACCGACUGAAUCACUUCUGUGUUGACACAUUGAUUAUCUGAGGCUUAAU